rfam:Ciona savignyi cont_40280, whole genome shotgun sequence.
GCUUAUCACCAUUCCAGAUUGAAUAUACCCGAUCUCGUUUGAUCUCGGAAGUCAAGCAAUCUCGAGCUUGGUUAGUACUUGGAUGGGUGACCGCUUGGGAAUACCAAGUGUGAUAAGCA